rnacentral:lncRNA from 1 species
CCUAAAAAUCGCUUAAUCUCAACAAUCAUAAUAAUAAUCCUAAUUAAAUCGAUAAAAAGCGAAGAUUGGGAUAUUUAUUGGCGUGAUUAUAAAGGAGAAUUCCCAAAAGAUGCUGACCCCGCCGGAGCGAACUCUGUUUACAUUGGACAGUUAUUUAAGAAGGAUUUUUAUUCCCCGGAUCAAUUUACGCAAAAAUAUCGCCUUGAAAUAUUACGGAAAAUUCGAAGUAACUAAAGAUAUAAAAAUCCUUUGUUCUGGAAACUUAGAUAAAGUGAAAUGGAAACAGAUUCAUGUCGAUAAUCUUCCUAAAAACCUCGUAAAUACAACCAUCGAAGGAAACCGAUUUUAAUUGGUAUAUUAGAAAAACGUUCCAUGAGAAUCAAUGGGGGGUUAAUUUUUGAGUUGAAUUCGAAAUAAAAUUGAGUGAAUAUAAUUAAAGGUUAACAAGUUUAUUGAAACGAUUUGAAAUAACCUUGAUGUCCUUGGGAGAAUAAUUUAAUCCAUUUAAUUUGUUAUGAAAAGGCGUGUAUGGAAGACAUUUUAAUGGAAAUUAAUCUAAAGAUACCAUGGAUGCUGAAAAAUCGGUUAAAACGUUAGUUUUAACGUUCGUUGAGAUUUUUUUUAACUUUGAUAACCAUUAAUCGGACGAAAAGGGUUUUUAUUUUGGAAUAAUACGGAAAAUAAAAAAUAUAAGGAUUUAUCAAGUUGAAUAGAAAAGGCGUUUGUUGAAGAGAUUUUAAUGAAAAUUAACCUAAGGAUACCAUGGAUGCUGGAAAAUUAAUUAAAACCCAGGUUCCUCAAGAUUUUUUUUAACUCCAAUAACCAUUAAUCGGAAAAAAAGGAUUUUUAUUUCGGAAUAAUAAGGAAAAUAAGAAAUGCAAGGAUUUAUCAAGAAAAAACACGUAUUGAAGAGAUUUUAAUGGAAAUUCACCUAUAGAAUAUCAGGAAUGCUGGAAAAUCUAUUAAAACCGAGGUUUGUCAAGAUUUUUGUUAACUCCUAUAUCUAUUAAUUGAAAGAAAAGGAUUUCUGUUUAGGAAUAACACGGAAAAUAAGAAAUAAAAGGAUUUAUGAAGAAAAAACACGUAUUGAAGAGAUUUUAAUGGAAAUUCACCUAUAGAAUAUCAGGAAUGCUGGAAAAUCUAUUAAAACCGAGGAUUUCUGUUUAGGAAUAACACGGAAAAUAAGAAAUAAAAGGAUUUAUGAAGAAAAGGCGUGUAUGGAGGAGAUUUUAAUGAAAAUUAAUCUAAAGAUACCAUGAAUGCUGAAAAAUCGAUUAAAACGUUAGUUUUAACGUUCGUUGAGAUUUUUUUUAACUUCAAUAACCAUUAAUCGGACGAAAAGGAUUUUUGUUUCGGAAUAAUGCGGAAAAUAAAAAAUAUAAGGAUUUAUCAAGUUGAAUAGAAAAGGCGUUUGUUGAAGAGAUUUAAAUGAAAAUUAACCUAAGGAUACCAUGGAUGCUGGAAAAUCAAUUAAAACCGAGGUUCCUCAAGAUUUUUUUUAACUCCCAUAACCAUUAAUCGGAAAAAAAGGAUUUUUGUUUUGGAAUAAUAAGGAAAAUAGGAAAUGAAAGGAUUUAUCAAGAAAAAACACUUAUUGAACAGAUUUUAAUGGAAAUUCACCUAUAGAUAUCAGGAAUGCUGGAAAAUCUAUUAAAACCGAGGUUCGUCAAGAUUUUUGUUAACUCCUAUAUCUAUUAAUUGGAAGAAAAGGAUUUUUGUUUUGGAAUAACAGGGAAAAUAAGAAAUAAAAGGACUUGUGAAGAAAAGGCGCUUAUUGAUGAGGUUUGAAUGGAAAUUAACCUAAGGUUACCAUGGAUACUGAACAGUCAAUUACAACCAAGGUUCAUCAAGAUUUUUUUUUAACUCCAGUAACAAUUAAUCAGAAGAAAAUGGUUUUUGUUUAUUUGUUUAUAUCUAAUUAGGAAUAAAAGGAUAUAUCAAGGUAAGAAAUAAACAUACAUUCACAAUUAAUUAAA